rnacentral:rRNA from 1 species
CCUACGGGCGGCAGCAGUGAGGAAUAUUGGUCAAUGGGCGCGAGCCUGAACCAGCCAAGUAGCGUGAAGGAUGACUGCCCUACGGGUUGUAAACUUCUUUUAUAAGGGAAUAGAGGGAGGCACGUGUGCCUUUUUGUAUGUACUUUAUGAGUAAGGAUCGGCUAACUCCGUGCCAGCAGCCGCGGUAAUACGGAGGAUCCGGGCGUUAUCAGGAUUUAUUGGGUUUAACGGGAGCGUAGAUGGGUUGUUAAGUCAGUUGUGAAAGUUUGCGGCUCAACCGUAAAAUUGCAAUUGAUACUGGCAGCCUUGAGUACAGUUGAGGUAGGCGGAAUUCGUGGUGUAGCGGUGAAAUGCUUAGAUAUCACGAAGAACUCCGAUUGCGAAGGCAGCUUACUAAACUGCCACUGACAUUGAUGCUCGAAAGUGUGGGUAUCAAACAGGAUUAGAUACCCCUGUAGUC